rnacentral:sRNA from 1 species
GAAAGAGUUACAUAAGAAGACUCCCCUUGCACGUAAAGAAAAAUGCAAUUAUUUUCUAUUCUGAAUCUCCAGACUGCUGUUUUAGAAAAUCAUAUCUGAUUAUUUGCUCAGCAGAAGAUUAUUGAGUUGAUUUAGCUGUGAUUUUACUUAACAAAGCUUCAACUGCAUUCCUACUGUGGAGUCCGAAAAAGGUAGAGAGAUAUAAAUGAUACAUUCAAACUGUGAUUUUUGUGAACAGGGCCAUCGAUGCACCCCUCGGAGCUAAUAGCGGAGAUGAGAAACAGUGGGUUUGCACUGAAACGAAAUGUACUGGGGAGAAACUUGACCGCAAAUGAUCCAUCACAGGAGUAUGUUGCAAGUGAGGGUGAAGAAGAUCCAGAAGUUGAAUUUUUAAAGUCACUAACAACCAAACAAAAACAGAAACUUCUCAGGAAAUUAGAUCGACUGGAGAAGAAAAAAAAGAAAAAAG